rnacentral:rRNA from 1 species
GACGAACGCUGGCGGCGUGCCUAAUACAUGCAAGUCGAACGAGAGCGACCGGUGCUUGCACUGGUCAAUCUAGUGGCGAACGGGUGAGUAACACGUGGGUAACCUGCCCAUCAGAGGGGGAUAACAUCCGGAAACGGAUGCUAAAACCGCAUAGGUCUUCGAACCGCAUGGUUUGAAGAGGAAAAGAGGCGCAAGCUUCUGCUGAUGGAUGGACCCGCGGUGCAUUAACUAGUUGGUGAGGUAACGGCUCACCAAGGCCGUGAUGCAUAGCCGACCUGAGAGGGUGAUCGGCCACAUUGGGACUGAGACACGGCCCAAACUCCUACGGGAGGCAGCAGUAGGGAAUCUUCCGCAAUGGACGCAAGUCUGACGGAGCAACGCCGCGUGAGUGAAGAAGGUUUUCGGAUCGUAAAACUCUGUUGUUAGAGAAGAACAAGUGCUAGAGUAACUGUUAGCGCCUUGACGGUAUCUAACCAGAAAGCCACGGCUAACUACGUG